rnacentral:rRNA from 1 species
GACGAACCGUCCGAACGUUAUUCGGUAUCACUGGGCUUAAAGCGUGCGUAGGCGGCCUGGUAGGUGAGGUGUGAAAGCCCACGGCUCAACCGUGGAAUUGCGCUUCAAACCACCAGGCUUGAGGAUGGCAGGGGUGAUGGGAACUGAUGGUGGAGCGGUGAAAUGCGUUGAUAUCAUCAGGAACACCGGUGGCGAAGGCGCAUCACUGGGCCAUUUCUGACGCUGAGGCACGAAAGCUAGGGUAG